UUGAAAGAUUUUUCAGUGUACCGAGAACACGGCUUGGUUACCGCUACACUUAAAAACUUUUCCUUUGGGGAAGCCAGCUAAUGGCCUUGAAGGGCAAAUGCCCUCUUCCCUCAACAACCUUCUUUAAGUUUCCUUUGCUUUUGACUCAUUAAUAUUCACCAGAAACACAACAAAGUGUGUGACACUAUCACUCGCAUUAUCCAUAACCAGAACCAAUUAAUUUUCCAUGUUCACAAAAAAAAAAAAAAUGUUAAUCAAAAUUUUUACAAAAUAGAGAAAACCAAGAAGAAGAAGAAGACUUGGAAUUGCACACCCCAAAAAUUCCAUUCCAUUAUUGUAAAAAAAUAAAAUAAAAAAAGGGAAUUCAAAGCUCUUAAAAGCUCUCAACUAAGGGUUGUUCGAGUUGGUUCUAGUUGGUGUUUGCAUUAACUAAUUUCCACCCACCACUUUUGAUGCUCAUAUAUAUUAACACUCCUUUCAUCUCUCUCACAAUCCAAUCCAAUCCAGUCCAUGCCAAUCCCACCCACCAUGGCCAGUGAGCAAGAUCUCUUGUCCACCGAAAUUGUCAACCGUGGGGUUGAGUCGUCCGGCCCCAAUGCUGGUUCCCUCACGUUCUCCAUGAGAGUGCGCAGGCGGCUGCUGGACCUUUUACAGUCCGUAAACCUAAAGUAUGUGAAGUUGGGGUACCACCACCUCAUCAACCAUGCCAUAUAAUUGGCCACCAUCCCUGUGCUUGUGCUGGUUUUUAGUGCUGAGGUGGGAAGUUUGAGUAGGGAGGAGCUGUGGAAGAAGCUUUGGGAUGAUGCACGUUAUGACCUAGCAACUGUGCUAGGAUUCUUUGGUGUUUUUGUGUUCACUUUGUCUGUUUACUUCAUGUCACGCCCUCGAUCCAUCUACCUCGUUGAUUUCGGCCUAAUGACGAUCUUAAGGUUCGAUAUGUGCCAAGCUGCGCUGAGGGAUGUCGAUCGGACCAUUGUGACGAUGCUGAGCCAGAAACUUGACGAGGUCAAGCUGCCUAGUGAUGAUGUGAUUCAUAAGGUUUCUCAACUCAAGCUUAAUAAUUGAUCAUUGUAAUGCAGCUGUGUAAUUCAAUCAACCGAUGUCCGUGAUCAUAACGUUGGUUGAGAGUUCAAUUUACAAAAAAGGCUCACGUACGGCUCACAGAUCUGUUGGGCUAUAAUUUAACCCUA